UGCAGUCUUGUUUCAUGCUCCACCUUUUUCUCAUUUAUUGCAUGAUUUUGGUAACUGAGUUGCAGCGUUACAAGCUGCAUCUUCACCACCAUCUCAGCUUCAACUAGAAGCAAACGCUAUACUCAGCAGUGGAUGGUGCAACACCUCUGAUCCAGAUUUCAACAUCUCUCAUUGCUGUCAAUGGCGUGGCACCAUAACGCUGGAAGUAUAACCGAAAUCACCAAAAUGCCUUUUCAUCCUGAAUCAGGUGAAUUACCUUCUUCACUAGCAAAUUUGAGUUUGUUACAACACUUAAGCUUGUUUAGCAACAAUAUUCCAGGUUCCAUUCCUAGUGAGAUAGGGUUUCUGAAAAAUCUCAUUACAUAAGACCUAUCUUAUAACAGAAUUAGUGUGCCUAGUUCAAUUACAAUUUACAAAUCUCACACAUUUGGAAGAUUUAGGCAUUUCCAAUAAUCGAUUAGUUGGUUCGCUACCUUCUAAUUUAGGUCAAUUUACCAAGUUGCGAUCAAUGAGGCUACAUAGGAAUUCCAUUAGUGGCACCUUGCCUGCUUCAGUGGCAAAUUUCACCCUAUUAGAAGAGCUUCACGUUUCGCAAAAUCUUCUCGUCGGUUACUUCCCUUCUGAUCUUCAUCGAUUAACUGAGCUUCAAGUGUUCAAACUGAAUAACAAUUCUGUUAGUGGGAACAUAGUACCCUUGUCAGGAUCGACCUCGGUCACAACCUGCUCAGUGGUAAUGUACCACCACAGGAUGGAUAUUUGCGGAAGCUGACCUAUUUGGAUCUCAGCUGCAAUAAUCUCACCGGAGCAGUUCCCGGUUUUCUCUAUCAUGUCGAUUAUGUGGACAUGUCCUAUAAUUAUUUGAAGGGUUCCAUUCCAGAUGGUGUCUCUGGUUAUGAUCUAAGAGGGAACAAGGAUGUUUGCAGUGACAUUUCUUAUUACCAAGUCAAGUUUCUGUUCCAACCUUGUUUUCCUCACAAGAAGGGAAGUAAAAAAAUAAGCAGGGUAAAGCUCAUUGUUAGUCUUCAACUAUUUGUAUCUAAGCCUUAAUCGGUUCAUGUUAAUAUGAUGAAUGCAGAGCUUGCCUAUACUAUGGCUGUGAGCAAAAAGUGUGAUGUCUAUAGCUUCAGAGUGGUGGCACUUGAAACUUUAGUGGGAAGGCAUCCUAAGGAAAUACUAUCAGCCCUUCAAUCAACAUCAAAUGAAGGCAUCACAUUAUGUGAAAUACUAGACCCACGCCUUCCAGCACCAAAGAUGAAUGUUUUAGAUGACAUAGUUCAGGUUGCCAUAGUAACAUUUUCGUGCUUAAAUCCCAAUCCGUCAUCUUGACCAACAAUGAGAUGUGUGUCUCAAUAUCUUCUUUCACAUCUAGCACCAUUAAGCAUUCCUUUACGUGAAAUUACAUUGCAGCAGCUCAUGGCUCAAAAACUCAGUGUCAUUUAGAAUUGUCAACUAUUGAAGUCGAAAUAUCAAAUUGAUGUUGGUGCUAUCCGCAUUUAAUGAAGACUUUGACCAAAUUUAUCUCCACAAAUUGUUAUGUAACUUCAUAAAGUUAUGUUUAUCAGGUAACUUAUACAUCUUCAUAAAUUAUUGUGCUCACCGCAAACACUCAAUUUAGAUUA